GUAUAACAUAAUUAUGAUAAUAACACUAAAAAAUAAUUAAAUAAUAAAAUAGCUAAAAAAGACUAAAUUGAACUUAAAAAUGAAAAAAUGGGGUAGAUUCGCAAUAAAUUAAAAGACAGGACUAACUUGAAUGCGCGAACAACAAUGGAGGAGUAAAAGGAAAAUUAAUCCCGCCCUCCAAAACGCUGCGCAACGACGGACCAAAUUGAAACUUAAAUGAAAUAUGCGGCUAAAUUUAAAAAAAAACAAACAAAAUGGGUUUGAUUGAAGCGCGUCGCAAAAAGAAGGGUCUAAUUGCGCAAAUUUCCCCUUUAUGCCAGAACGCGCGGACCCUGCUUGCGGGUCGGGUCGACGACGGAUCUGACCCCCUCAGAUGGCGCCGUUUUGCUAACGUGAUUUAAAACAGUUUUUUUUCUUAAAAAAACAUGUUUCCAGAAGUAAGAAAAAAAAAAAGAAAUCUCUGCUAGGGUUUUUCAACCCCAGCUCUUAAUGCCGCCGUUCUCAGGUGAGCCAAUGCCCAGCGCUCCGUUAAGCUCCGAUCUGAGAGAGGUGAACAGAGUUUCGACGGUGAAUCCUCGAAGGUAUUACCCCUCUCAUCUUUUAUAUUAUUAUUUUACAAAAUAAGAAAAAAAUCGACAAGAAUAGGAAAAAAAAUAAAAAUAGAAAACUCGAUUCACCUUUAAACUUUGAUUCUUUUUCUCUCUUAUUUUAGUAUCUGUCCUCGUUAUCUUUUUAUUUACAAAUUUGAAUCAGCCUUAUAUAGCCGAAAUUAUAAAAAAAACAAUCAAGUCUAAAAUAAAAAAAACCAUCAAGUCUAUAUCUUUGAUAUUUGCUAAUUUUGCAGUUUCUUUGCGUCUGUUUUGCCGUUUAUUGCGCAGGUUAGCUGGAGGUGAGACGCACGUGGUGGAGGCCGAUGCGUGUGCGAAGAGGAGCCUGGCUUGGCUGCGGCGCAAAUUGUUCCAGAAACCCUAGGGGUUUCUAGAUGCUUCAAGAAAAUGGGCCACUUCGAGUUGGGCUAGGGUUUGGGUCUGUAAUUGGUAUUGGGCCGCGGGUUUAGUUGAGUUAUAAAUGGAUUAACAGUUUGUAAAUGGACUGGACACUUAUUUGGUUUUAUUUAUUUUUUUGAUGGGCCCGGGCUAAAAUUGGGUAUUACACUACUCACUGGCCCAUACUAGAAUCUCAAACUUUUAACCCCCAAAACCGUGGUGUUACAUCAUCAACCUUUUGUAAAAAGGUUGGAACAAGAGAUUCAACAAGGAGAAUGGAAGCAUGAGACUUUGGUAUAUCCUGUGUAACAACCAUUUUUUAGUAGUACCAAAAACGAUGAUUUCGAAACCUUGUAUUCUAAUAAAUGAGUUACUAAAUAUUGUUU
rnacentral:lncRNA from 1 species